CACGUAGGGGGCGAGCGUUGUCCGGAUUUAUUGGGCGUAAAGGGCUCGUAGGCGGCCAACUAAGUCAGACGUGAAAUCCCCUCGGCUUAACCGGGGAACUGCAUCUGAUACUGGAUGGCUUGAGUUCGGGAGAGGGAUGCGGAAUUCCUAGUGUAGCGGUGAAAUGCGUAGAGAUUAGGAAGAACACCAGUGGCGAAGGCGACUUACUGGACUGUAACUGACACUGAGGCAUGAAAGCGUGGGGAGCAAACAGG
rnacentral:rRNA from 1 species